rnacentral:rRNA from 1 species
GAUGAACGCUGGCGGCGUGCCUAAUACAUGCAAGUAGAACGCUGAAGGAAGGAGCUUGCUCUUUCCGGAUGAGUUGCGAACGGGUGAGUAACGCGUAGGUAACCUGCCUGGUAGCGGGGGAUAACUAUUGGAAACGAUAGCUAAUACCGCAUAACAGUAGAUGUUGCAUGAUAUCUACUUAAAAGGUGCAAUUGCACCACUACCAGAUGGACCUGCGUUGUAUUAGCUAGGUGGUGAGGUAACGGCUCACCAAGGCGACGAUACAUAGUCGACCUGAGAGGGAUGUCGGCCAAACUUGGACUGGAACCAGGGCCAAGAGCCUACGGGAGGCAGCAGGAGGGAAUCUUCGGCAAUGGACGGAAGUCUGACCGCAGCACGCCGCGUGAGGGAAGGAGGGUUUCGGAUCGUAAAGCUCUGUUGUAAGAGAAGAACGAGUGUGAGAGUGGAAAGUUCACACUGUGACGGUAUCUUACCAGAAAGGGACGGCUAACUACGUG